rnacentral:rRNA from 1 species
CCUCAAAGGUAAACGGGUGGGCCCCUCGAAAUCCUGUGGCGAGAGGAUUCAGUCUGGCUCGGCGGACGCGGCGGCGGAAUUCAUUAGGACUUCCCUGGAUCGGGGGUCGUCUGCCGCUGCGCCUUCUGCCGUUUCAGACGCAUUUGUCUCUCGUCCGAAGGACGCUGCAGCCGGUCCGGCAGUGCAAGCGUGACGUCCUGAAGGUCGGGUAAUGGCAGGUGGCCGGUGGCUCGCUUCGUGCGGGUCGUCGGUUGUUAGCCGUCCCGUCAGUGGACCGUCGCCGGACCGUGGUGUCGCGAGUCCCCUCGCGGGACUCCACGUCUCCCCCCCGAGGUAGCGAGACAGACCUGGAACAGGGCAGUUGAGUUGCUCCGUCGCACCCGUCUGGUGUGGACAGAGGAGUUUCUGCGCCCCGCACGUCCAGGCGGGCUCGUCCGGGGACAGGAGGCUGGCAGCGAGUAGGUCGGUCACCCACCCGACCCGUCUUGAAACACGGACCAAGGAGUCUAACAUGUGCGCGAGUCAAUGGGUCUUGAACAGGCCCAGGGGCGCAAUGAAAGCGAAGGACCGCCCAGCGCGGUCCGAGCGGGGAUCCCUCUUCUCCGGAGGGGGGCGCACCCGCGACCCGUCCUGUGCUGCUCGCAGCUUGGGCGGAGUUUGAGCGUACACGUUGGGACCCGAAAGAUGGUGAACUAUGCCCGGACAGAAUAAAGCCAGAGGAAACUCUGGUGGAGGUUCGCAGCGGUUCUGACGUGCAAAUCGAUCGUCAGAWUCCGGGUUCUAGGGGCGAAAGACUAAA